rnacentral:lncRNA from 1 species
GCCUAGGUGACCAGGAGCUGCGCAGGAGGAGCAAAGAAUUUGGACCUGAGGCCGGGAUUUUCAUCAUUGGUACUGCUGCUCCUGGCCGCUUGGGGGCUGAGGGAGCCCUGCCCCCUGCAUGCGUCCUCGGUCGGACUCACCCUUCAGUCGCCGGCUGCACUCUGGCGCAGAGCUUUAGCACCUUAAGUUGCUCAAUUUGAUCUCUGCACUCAGGAACAAGGUAAUUAAGUCAGCCACGAUUUAAGAAAACGGACCUGCCUCGCCUUGUUGCCGUCUUCAGACAGCGCUCCAUCCUAAAUCAUCUGAUAAUGGAAGAGGCUCGGCGCGGCUCUCUACUUGACUGAGGGUGAGUUCAUUAGGUCACAAAUCAGUAAUUGACUCUCAGUGUGUCUCUGCUGGUUUUAUUACAGUAAUGAGGACUAUCUUUUUUUUUCAUAUCCUCUA